rnacentral:rRNA from 1 species
CCUACGGGAGGCAGCAGUGAGGAAUAUUUGUCAAUGGGCGGAAGCCUGAACCAGCCAAGUAGCGUGCAGGAUGACGGCCCUACGGGUUGUAACCUGCUUUUAUACGGGACUAACGCGCCUUACGUGUAGGGCUUUGCAUGUACCGUAUGAAUAAGGACCGGCUAAUUCCGUGCCAGCAGCCGCGGUAAUACGGAAGGUCCUGGCGUUAUCCGGAUUUAUUGGGUUUAAAGGGAGCGUAGGCCGCAUGUCAAGCGUGCUGUGAAGUGUCCGGGCUCAACCCGGGCCUUGCAGCGCGAACUGGCGUGCUUGAGUCCGCGGAAAGCAGGCGGAAUUCGUCGUGUAGCGGUGAAAUGCUGAGAUAUGACGAAGAACCCCGAUUGCGAAGGCAGCUUGCUGCAGCGGAACUGACGCUGAUGCUCGAAAGCGCGGGUAUCGAACAGGAUUAGAUACCCGUGUAGUC